GACGAACGCUGGCGGCGUGCCUAAUACAUGCAAGUCGAACGCAGUGGGGAUAGGUGAGUAACACGUGGGUAACCUCCCAUCAGAGGGGAUAACACUUGGAAACUGGUGCUAAACUGAUACUGUUGGAUGGACCCGCGGGGCAUCAGCUAGUUGGUGAGGUCACGGCUCACCGAGGCUACGAUGCAUAGACGACCUGAGAGGGUGAUCGGCCACACUGGGACUGAGACACGGCCCAGACUCCGACGGGAGGCAGCAGUAGGGAAUCUUCGGCAAUGGACGAAAGUCUGACCGAGCAACGCCGCGUGAGUGAAGAAGGUUUUCGGAUCGUAAAACUCUGUUGUUGGAGAAGCGGUAUCUAACCAAAAAGCCACGGCUAACUACGUGCCAGCAGCCGCGGUAAUAC
rnacentral:rRNA from 1 species